GUUGGAAGAGCCAUCUAUCUCUACUGUUUUCUGACUGAAGCUCCUGGAAGGGGGUGAGAAAAUAGAGGCUUGGAGGUGUUAUGUGGCUGGUCCAAAAUCACACAAUGAAGGAGUAGCGGUAAUAGGAUUUAAUCUUCAGCCUCGCGAAGCCAGAGACAAAGCUCUUAAUGAUUACAAAACACUGCCCCUGGUGGCAACAUGAAGAAUUACAUCUCAGUGACCAACAGGAUAAAAACCACGUGGAUCAACAGGAGAAGCAGAGAAAACACCAGACUUGCUGAAAACACAGAGUCAAGGCAGGAAAAACCAAAGAGUUUGGAUGGAGAACAGUGUUCAUUAUGAAUGUCAACUCGGAUCAGUUGCUGUGGUUCCGUGAGUUCUGUUUUGAGACGUUUUAUGAAAAUGCAGCUGAGCUGUGAAUUCCGUCUGUGCCAAAAGCUUUGAAAGAGAAAGGGAAGAAGCACCCAUGCCCAGCGUCUGCCAUCCCAGCCUACAGGACCUCUUCGUUUACAAGACAGCUUCCUUGGCGAUCUCUAUUUUCCGAGCUAAGCGCUCUAGAAUACUCUCUAUGUUACUCCACACCUUUGUCUUCCUCCUUUACAGCCUAUGUUGAAAGGCAGCUAGUUUACUCUGUCUAAUAUUGAAAUUGUACAUAACUUGAGAUCUUUAAGGUACCACACUUGCUAUGAAGUGGAAAGAGCUACACUUAAAAUAUCAUAAUGGAUGCCUGGAAAUCUAUAAUGGCUAGAAACAUUUAAAAUUUUAAUAACUUAAUUGGCAUAUCGUACAUUGUAUACUACCAAUAAUUCUCUAUGAAGGAGGUAGGAAAGCUGAAAAGGAAAACUAUACAGCUUCAAUUUGUACUU